GGGAAGUUGGCUCAGUGGUAGAGUGCUUGCCUUGCAUGCAUGAGGCCCUGGGUUCGAUUCCUCAGCAUCACA
rfam:Dipodomys ordii contig_51696, whole genome shotgun sequence.